rnacentral:rRNA from 1 species
GACGAACGCUGGCGGCGUGCUUAACACAUGCAAGUCGAACGGAAAGGCCCUGCUUUUGUGGGGUGCUCGAGAGGCGAACGCGUGAGUAACACGUGAGUAACCUGCCCUUGACUUUGGGAUAACUUCAGGAAACUCGGGCUAUUACCGGAUAGGAGCUCCUGCUGCAUGGUGGGGGUUGGAAAGUUUCGGCGGUUGGGGAUCGAAUCGCGGCUUAUCAGCUUGUUGGUGGGGUAGUGGAUUACGAAGGCUUUGACGGGUAGCCGGCCUGGGAGGGGGACCGGCGACAUUGGGACUAAGAUACGCCGCAGACUCCUAUGGGAGGCAACAGUGGAGAGUAUGGCGCAAUGGGCGGAAGCCAGUUGCGAAAGCGCCGGGUGCGGGAUGACGGCCUACGAGGUGUAAACCGCUUUCGCCGUUGACGAAGCGUGAGUGACGGUAAUGGGUAAAGAAGCACCGGCUAACUACGUG